rnacentral:snRNA from 1 species
GUGCUCGCUUCGGCAGCACAUGUACUAAAAUUGGAACGAUGCAGAGAAGAUUAGCGUGGCCCCUGCACAAGGAUGACACGCAAAUUUGUGAAGCGUUCCAUAAUUUU